ACUCCAUGCUGGUAUUUGUCACUUCACUCUUCCGGAAGUUGGAUGCCAAGUUGUUGGAAGGACUUGGGUCUCCUGGGAGCAGUGCCUGUCCCCCUGCUGUGGAGACCUCCUGAAGCUUCGGGAUCCCUGGGUUGGUGACACCUGCCUGCCCUCACUUUGAUUGCCUCACUAGACUCUGAAAUUUUCCUCAGCAGCAGCUGAUGGAGACAAGUUUGACCUGAAGUCAUCCUCAUCCUAGUGGGGAGGAAGGCAUGUACAGCCGGGAGACCUGAGCCGGGAGACCAGGAGGAAGCUUCAAGAAACACGAGAAAUACAAAGAGGCCAGAGCUGAGCAGCUGGCAUUCCUCCCGACUCUGACACCUGUCUGCUCAGUUUGGAGUGAGACUGUACUCUCUGUGUGGGAUGUGGCCUCAGGGGCUCCUUCAUCUGGCCUGAGGUCAUCCUGUGACCAGCCCUACCCCCCAGGGAGCCCAACAUUUGAGUUCCACUGUAAAAA
ensembl:lincRNA 0610033M10Rik RIKEN cDNA 0610033M10 gene